UUAAAUGCGAUGAUGGGAAUAAGUAAGCUCGAUUGUUUUUGCAUACAGAGAGCCGGUGGAUGGUGCGAACCGGUGCAAGCAUCGAUGCGGAAUGGGGCCCAGAGCAUACUUUCGGAAACUGACAGCUCAUGCUGCUGUCGAAGAUGUUUGUACGGCAGUUCCCCGUUAUGGAGCAAUAAGGCUUGUGGGUUUUUUAUGCGCUUAUUUCUGAAGAGAAGCGUACCAUAAGCGAAUUAGGGUGGCACCACGGUCCCUCGUCCCUUGC
rnacentral:ncRNA from 1 species